CAGAGAUGCGUAGCCGAUGGGAAACAGGUUAAUAUUCCUGUACCGAUGUAUAGUGCGAUGUGGGGACGGAGAAAGUUAGGUCAGCCAACUGUUGGAAAUGUUGGUUUAAGCGUGCAGGUGUGAGAAUUAGGCAAAUCCGGUUCUCUGUAACACUGAGGCGUGAUGACGAUGAUCUACGGAUCAGAAGUGAUUGAUACUAAGCUUCCAGGAAAAGCCACUAAGCUUCAGCUAUAUAUUGACCGUACCGCAAACCGACACUGGUGGACGAGAUGAGUAUUCUAAGGCGCUUGAGAGAACUCUGGAGAAGGAACUCGGCAAAUUAGCACCGUAACUUCGGGAGAAGGUGCGCCCCGAUGAUGUGUAGACCCUCGCGGUCGAAGCAGUAAGGGGUUGCAGUGAAAAGGUGGCUGCGACUGUUUAUUAAAAACACAGCACUCUGCAAACACGAAAGUGGACGUAUAGGGUGUGACGCCUGCCCGGUGCUGGAAGAUUAAAUGAUGGGGUGCAAGCUCUUGAUUGAAGUCCCAGUAAACGGCGGCCGUAACUAUAACGGUCCUAAGGUAGCGAAAUUCCUUGUCGGGUAAGUUCCGACCCGCACGAAUGGCGUAACGAUGGCCACACUGUCUCCUCCAGAGACUCAGCGAAGUUGAAAUGUUUGUGAAGAUGCAAUCUCCCCGCGGCUAGACGGAAAGACCCCAUGCACCUUUACUGCAGCUUUGCAUUGGACUUUGACCAUAUCUGUGUAGGAUAGGUGGGAGGCUUUGAAGUUGUGACGCUAGUCACAAUGGAGCCGACGUUGAAAUACCACCCUGAUAUGUUUGAGGUUCUAACCUAGGUAUAACAGUACCGGGGACAGUACAUGGUAGGCAGUUUGACUGGGGCGGUCUCCUCCCAAAGAGUAACGGAGGAGUACGAAGGUAACCUUAUCACGGUCGGAAAUCGUGAGGAAAGUGCAAUGGCAAAAGGUUGCUUGACUGCGAGACUGACAAGUCGAGCAGGUGCGAAAGCAGGUCAUAGUGAUCCGGUGGUUCUGAAUGGAAGGGCCAUCGCUCAACGGAUAAAAGGUACGCUGGGGAUAACAGGCUGAUACCGCCCAAGAGUUCACAUCGACGGCGGUGUUUGGCACCUCGAUGUCGGCUCAUCUCAUCCUGGGGCUGUAGUCGGUCCCAAGGGUAUGGCUGUUCGCCAUUUAAAGAGGUACGUGAGCUGGGUUUAAAACGUCGUGAGACAGUUUGGUCCCUAUCUGCCGUGGGCGUUGGAGAUUUGAGGGGGGCUGCUCCUAGUACGAGAGGACCGGAGUGGACACACCUCUGGUGUACCGGUUGUGACGCCAGUCGCAUCGCCGGGUAGCUAAGUGUGGAAGAGAUAACCGCUGAAAGCAUCUAAGUGGGAAACUUGCCUCGAGAUAAGAUCUCCCUGGAACUAUAAGUUCCCAGAAGGGUCGUUGAAGACUACAACGUUGAUAGGUCAGGUGUGGAAGUGUAGUAAUACAUUAAGCUAACUGAUACUAAUUGCCCGUGAGGCUUGACUCU
rnacentral:rRNA from 1 species